GGGGGUCUAGCUCAGUGGUUCCAGCAUCUGCCUCGCAUGCACAAGGUCCUGAGUUCAAUCCCCAGUACCCCAA
rnacentral:tRNA from 1 species